CAGUCUUUAUGCCAGAGAUCAAAAUCUAGCUUGAGGCCACCACUUCUCAUCAAGAUAACCAUGACCAGGUCAGGACAUCUGUCCAUUCUCAAGCAUCUUUUUGUGACUGUCAAUUCUCUAGGACUUCAACCCCCUCAGCUGAAUUUAAAAGAGGCCUCGGCCAUGGAAACUAAGCCCUCACACAUCCCCUGCACUCUCAUGGAGUGAUGAGGGAGCCCUCGUUCUUGCUGUGACCCUGCCAUGACCAGGCAUCCUCCAGUCUACUUGCAGUGGUCAAGACGGAGCACACACACUAGGGUGCUGACAUUUUGUGAAGACUUUACAGGAACAUCCCCUUUAAUUCUCAGAAGCAGGCCACAAGAAAACAAACAGAACAGAACAUUACAUCAGAACGCUAGCUGUCCCUGGUAUUCCUUUCCUGUUCUUCCUUUUAAUGAAUAAAACUCUCCCGAGUUUUAGCUGGGCAUAUGGGUGCCCAACUAGAGACUACAAUUCUCAGUCUUUUUUUGCAGCUGGAUAAAAGCAGCCUUGGAAAUUGGUGGUCAAGUUGGCAGGGUUGGCAUGUUGAGGACAGCAGUACUUCUCCACCAGCCUGGGACAGAUCACCUCUGGAUCUUUACAUG